AAAUAGAGCUUUGCAGAGAGAGUUAACAGGGCGUGAAACCGUUAAUUGGCAAACGAAUCGGAGCCACGAAGUCAUUGGUUGUUUGAAUUCAGGUUCCCACUAAACAUGGGGGCUGUAUUUUCUAAACAUCUUAAUGUACACUGCAACCAGUUAGAUUAGUGAUGGGCAUAGUGGGGUUGUAGCUUUCGGGUUACUUCUUCAGCAGCAUCUGUCCGCUUGAAUUAGUAGUAGCGAGGCUUGUUUCGGCGAGUACUUGUUGCUGGAUUUAGGUGGGUGAACUAUUACUUUAGGCUGACUGGUAAAAUGAAAGUCGCUCUUAGGGGCGUGCUAUAAUGCAAUUGCUAAUACUAUUGAUCACCUACUGAACCAUGUGGUUUUAAGCUCAGCUUUUUUGAAUUUGGACUUGCUUGCUACCAGUGGGGCAACCCCUGGUGCUUGUAUAGCUUCCAUCUAAUCGGGAGUUGACUUGGCCGCACGUUGACUGAGGUAGGCUACGAUCGGUUGGUAGUAUGAAGUAAUUUGCCAUUUGAUUGGCAGUGAGUAGGUCGGCUUUCCGAACGACCCGUCUUGAAACACGGACCAAGGAGUCUAAUUAGGCAUCAGUCGAUCAGUCUUGAUAGGCUAGCUUUCAUUAGAAAGAUCGAAGGCGCAGAGAAAUCAAAUCAUGUGAUCGUUUUCAUUAAAAAAAACGCGCAACAUGUGCCUGCGGGAAGGAAUGUUAUUUAUUUAACUUCUCCUGCGGAGCAAAAAGAUACCUGAUUGGUACCCGAAAGAUGGUGAACUAUGCUUGGGCAAGUUGAAGCCAGAGGAAACUCUGGUGGAGGACUGUAGCGGUUCUGACGUGCAAAUCGAUCGUCAGACCUGAGUAUAGGGGCGAAAGACUAAUCGAACCAUC
rnacentral:rRNA from 1 species